rnacentral:rRNA from 1 species
AGAGUUUGAUCAUGGCUCAGGACGAACGCUGGCUGCGUGCUUAACACAUGCAAGUCGAACGCUGAAGCCCUCAGCUUGCUGGGGGUGGAUGAGUGGCGAACGGGUGAGUAACACGUGAGUAACCUGCCCCUGAUUUCGGGAUAAGCCCGGGAAACUGGGUCUAAUACCGGAUAUGACCACUGGCCGCAUGGUUGGUGGUGGAAAGUUUUUUCGAUUGGGGAUGGGCUCGCGGCCUAUCAGUUUGUUGGUGGGGUAAUGGCCUACCAAGGCGACGACGGGUAGCCGGCCUGAGAGGGCGACCGGCCACACUGGGACUGAGACACGGCCCAGACUCCUACGGGAGGCAGCAGUGGGGAAUAUUGCACAAUGGGGGAAACCCUGAUGCAGCGACGCAGCGUGCGGGAUAACGGCCUUCGGGUUGUAAACCGCUUUCAGCAGGGAAGAAGCCGUGAGGUGACGGUACCUGCAGAAGAAGUACCGGCUAACUACGUGCCAGCAGCCGCGGUAAUACGUAGGGUACGAGCGUUGUCCGGAAUUAUUGGGCGUAAAGAGCUCGUAGGUGGUUGGUCACGUCUGCUGUGGAAACGCAACGCUUAACGUUGCGCGGGCAGUGGGUACGGGCUGACUAGAGUGCAGUAGGGGAGUCUGGAAUUCCUGGUGUAGCGGUGAAAUGCGCAGAUAUCAGGAGGAACACCGGUGGCGAAGGCGGGACUCUGGGCUGUGACUGACACUGAGGAGCGAAAGCAUGGGGAGCGAACAGGAUUAGAUACCCUGGUAGUCCAUGCCGUAAACGUUGGGCACUAGGUGUGGGGGACAUUCCACGUUUUCCGCGCCGUAGCUAACGCAUUAAGUGCCCCGCCUGGGGAGUACGGUCGCAAGGCUAAAACUCAAAGGAAUUGACGG